rnacentral:rRNA from 1 species
UGGGCUUGACAUCCCGGGAAUUCCGUCUAAACAUGGAAGUGCCCUUCGGGGAACCUGGAGACAGGUGCUGCAUGGCUGUCGUCAGCUCGUGUCGUGAGAUGUUGGGUUAAGUCCCGCAACGAGCGCAACCCUCAUCCUUAGUUGCCAUCAUUAAGUUGGGCACUCUAAGGAAACUGCCGGUGUUAAACCGGAGGAAGGUGGGGAUGACGUCAAGUCCUCAUGGCCCUUAUGUCCAGGGCUACACACGUGCUACAAUGGCCGGAACAAUGGGUCGCAAUCCCGCGAGGGGGAGCUAAUCCCAAAAAGCCGGUCUUAGUUCGGAUUGGAGUCUGCAACCCGACUCCAUGAAGCUGGAAUCGCUAGUAAUCGCGUAUCAGCAUGACGCGGUGAAUACGUUCCCGGGCCU